AUUGAACGCUGGCGGCAGGCCUAACACAUGCAAGUCGAGCGGUAACACAGGGAGCUUGCUCCUGGGUGACGAGCGGCGGACGGGUGAGUAAUGUCUGGGAAACUGCCUGAUGGAGGGGGAUAACUACUGGAAACGGUAGCUAAUACCGCAUAACGUCGCAAGACCAAAGAGGGGGAACUUCGGGCCUCUUGCCAUCAGAUGUGCCCAGAUGGGAUUAGCUGGUAGGUGGGGUAACGGCUCACCUAGGCGACGAUCCCUAGCUGGUCUGAGAGGAUGACCAGCCACACGGGAACUGAGACACGGUCCAGACUCCAACGGGAGGCAGCAGUGGGGAAUAUUGCACAAUGGGCGCAAGCCUGAUGCAGCCAUGCCGCGUGUAUGAAGAAGGCCUUCGGGUUGUAAAGUACUUUCAGCGGGGAGGAAGGCGAUAAGGUUAAUAACCUUGUCGAUUGACGUUACCCGCAGAAGAAGCACCGGCUAACUCCGUGCCAGCAGCCGCAGUAA
rnacentral:rRNA from 1 species